CCUGUCAAAGAUUAUUUUCCUAUAACAGCAAACCAAGAGCUUUAAUACCCAACUUCCAGCUUUCCUACAUAAUUUAAACAGGUAAAUAAAUAGAUCUAUUAAAUCAGAGGUAAUAAAGAGAUCAAUAGAGAGGUGAAUAGAGAGGUAAAAAGGUGAAUAGAGAGGUAAAUAGAGAGGUGAAUAGAAAUGGAGAGGUGAAGAGAAAUAAAUAGAAAGGUUAAGAGAGGUAAAGAGGUAAAUAAAGAGGUGAACAGAGAGGUAAUGAGGUAAAUAAAGAGGAGAACAGAGAUAAAGUGGUAAAUAGAGA
ensembl:lncRNA